rnacentral:misc_RNA from 1 species
AAUGUGGUGAGCAGUGUGUUAGUACAACGUUGUAUGACUUUUGUUCUAUUGAUUUAUGUGCUUUUCUUGAUAUAACUCGAUUCUAGAAGAGUAAUGUUUAUUUUCUAGAUCAAAUUCAACAUGACUGCUUUUUUGCCACCAAAUUUAUUAGCACUAUUCGCCGCCAGAGAUCCAAUACAGUAUCUGCCACCGGCUACCAAGCAAGGUUUUGAAAAAAGACGCGUGCCAUACGCCGGAGUUUCUGUAUUCUUAAAGGAAUUUGAGGACCCAAAAGACACCCCACCACCUACCAGGGUAGAAACAAAAGAUGAAAGAAAAGAAAGAAAGAGAAAGGAAAGAGCUGAGCAGAUUGCUUACAAGUUGGAACAGGAUCUAGCCUUGUGGGACCCUAGCAAUGCCGCCAGUGCCACUGGAGAUCCAUACAAGACACUUUUUGUGGCUCGAAUCAACUAUGAUUCAAGUGAGUCCAAGCUACGCAGAGAAUUUGAAGUGUAUGGAUCAAUUCGAAAAAUUUCAUUGGUGUCAGACAAAACUUCAGGAAAACCAAGGGGAUAUGCAUUUAUAGAGUUUGAACAUGAGAGGGACAUGCAUUCUGCAUACAAACAUGCAGAUGGAAAGAAAAUUGACGGAAGACGUGUUUUGGUUGACGUGGAAAGAGGAAGAACAGUCAAAGGUUGGAGGCCAAGAAGAUUAGGAGGUGGGUUAGGAGGAACCAGGAAAGGUGGGCCUGAUGAAAACACUCGCUUUUCUGGACGAGACGAGUUCAGCAGUAGUUCCUACCGUGGCAGAGAGGAAUCUCCCUGCCAGAGACCGCAGUCGCCGACGAAGUAGAAGUCGAGAAAGACCGCCGAGGAGAAGUCGAAGCAGAGAGAGACCGCCAAGGAGAAGCAGAAGCAGAGAUAGAGAAAGGCCCUAGAAGGGAAGAGCCAGGAGAGGAAAAGGAACGCAAGAGGAGCAGAAGGAGUCGAUCAAGAGAAAGAAAAAGAAGCCGAUCUCGUGAAAGAAAGAGAACCAGAAGAAGCAGAAGUCGCGAUCGCAAGCGAGAUCGGGAAAGCAAGCGAGAUGAAGGGGCGGAUCAAGACUUUGGCGAGGACGGGGUCCCAGUUGUUAAGGAAGAGGAUGUUGACCAGUACACAGGGUACGGAGGGUACAACCCUGAGGACCAGAAUGGGGGCGAGGAAGAGGAGGGAGCUGAAAAUGAGGAGUACGAAGGGUGAAGGAUUGCAAUGGAAAUUUUUAUUUCUCUUAAUAGACUUUUCUCUCAGUAUGAUUUAUCCUAUUUCUGUACAUUGUGAAAGAUCUGUUUACUUUGCAGGAUCAUGUCACUAUUGGUCCCCACAUGUUGUCAAACAUGUUUUUUUUUAAAAAGAGAUAAUGUUUUACUUGACACAGAUGUUAAUAAAUGUUAUGCCUUUGUUUGAAACAAUUAGUAUACAAUAUUAAUGUUGUUUAUUACUGUUGUCAUUUGGUUAAGUGAAAUGGCAUUGAGGGAUCAUGUAUCCAUACUCACAAAUGGGAUAGAGUGCUCACAGAGCAGAUCUUGUAUGGAGUUGACUUCAUGUGCUUGAAUAAAUUUUGGAAAAAUAAU